rnacentral:piRNA from 1 species
UUGGGGUCAUGGGUUGAGACAAUACAGUG